UACGUAGGGACCAAGCGUUGUUCGGAUUUACUGGGCGUAAAGGGCGCGUAGGCGGCGUGGUAAGUCACUUGUGAAAUCUCUGAGCUUAACUCAGAACGGCCAAGUGAUACUGCUGUGCUAGAGUGCAGAAGGGGCAAUCGGAAUUCUUGGUGUAGCGGUGAAAUGCGUAGAUAUCAAGAGGAACACCUGAGGUGAAGACGGGUUGCUGGGCUGACACUGACGCUGAGGAGCGAAAGCGUGGGUAGCAAACAGG
rnacentral:rRNA from 1 species